AAUAUUGGACAAUGGGGGCAACCCUGAUCCAGCCAUGCCGCGUGUGUGAAGAAGGUCUUCGGUUUGUAAAGCACUUUAAGUUGGGAGGAAGGGGUUUAGGCUAAUAUCCUGAAGAUUUGACGUCACCGUCCGAACAAGCACCGGCUAACUCGGUGCCAGAAGCCGCGGUAAUACAGAGGGUGCAAGCGUUAAUCGGAAUUACUGGGCGUAAAGCGCGCGUAGGUGGUUCAGUAAGAUGGGUGUGAAAUCCCCGGGCUUAACCUGGGAACUGCUUUCAUAACUGCUGAGCUAGAGUACGGUAGAGGGUAGUGGAAUUUCCUGUGUAGCGGUGAAAUGCGUAGAUAUAGGAAGGAACACCAGUGGCGAAGGCGACUACCUGGACUGAUACUGACACUGAGGUGCGAAAGCGUGGGGAGCAAAC
rnacentral:rRNA from 1 species